rnacentral:rRNA from 1 species
GGGGGACAUGGCGUCUUACCAAACCAUGGCAAACUCCGAAUACUUGGAAGUGUGAGCGCGGGAGACAGAGCACCGGGUGCUAACGUCCGGACUCAAAAGGGAAACAACCCAGACCGCCGGCUAAGGUCCCUAAUAUUUGCUAAGUGGAAAACGAAGUGGAAAGGCUAAGACAGUCAGGAAGUUGGCUUAGAAGCAGCCAUCCUUUAAAGAAAGCGUAAUAGCUCACUGAUCGAGUCUUUCUGCGCGGAAGAUGUAACGGGGCUAAGCAAGUAACCGAAGCCGCGGAUUCAUACAUAAGUAUGAGUGGUAGGGGAGCGUUCUGUAAGCCUGCGAAGGUGGUUCGAGAGGACUGCUGGAGGUAUCAGAAGUGCGAAUGCUGACAUGAGUAACGUUAAAGCGGGUGAAAAGCCCGCUCGCCGUAAGCCCAAGGUUUCCUGCUCUACGUUCAUCGGAGCAGGGUGAGUCGGCCCCUAAGGCCAGGCUGAGAAGCGUAGUCGAUGGGAACAAGGUUAAUAUUCCUAGACCAUUGUCAAGUAUGCGAUGGGGGGACGGAGUGUGAAAGAUGAUCCGGGUGUUGGAUAUCCCGGUUUGUGAGAGUAGAAGGAGAGCAGGCAAAUCCGCUCUCAAAUCUUCGAGUCAAAACAUCGAUUCUCCACGUGAGAAGAAGUCAUCGGAAGUGCUUCCAAGAAAAGCCUCUAAGUGGUAGCUUGACAAGACCGUACCGCAAACCGACACUGGUGGGCGAGUUGAAUAUACUAAGGCGCUUGAGAGAACUCGGGAGAAGGAACUCGGCAAAUUGACACCGUAACUUCGGAAGAAGGUGUGCCUUUGUAGCGUGAGAGAAGAAACAUCUUAAGCGUGAAGAGGCCUCAGAGAAUAGGUGGCUGCAACUGUUUACUAAAAACAUAGCACUCUGCAAAGAUGAAAGUCGACGUAUAGGGUGUGAUGCCUGCCCGGUGCUGGAAGAUUAAUUGAUGGGGUGCAAGCUCCUGAUCGAAGUCCCAGUAAACGGCGGCCGUAACUAUAACGGUCCUAAGGUAGCGAAAUUCCUUGUCGGGUAAGUUCCGACCUGCACGAAUGGCAUAAUGAUGGCCACACUGUCUCCUCCCGAGACUCAGUGAAGUUGAAGUGUUUGUGAUGAUGCAAUCUCCCCGCGGCUAGACGGAAAGACCCCAUGAACCUUUACUGUAGCUUUACAUUGGACUGUGAACCGAUUUGUGUAGGAUAGGUGGGAGGCAGAGAAACUCGAACGCCAGUUUGAGCGGAGCCAACCUUGAAAUACCACCCUGAUUUGUUUGCGGUUCUAACCUCGGCCCAUGAUCUGGGCUAGGGACCGUGUAUGGUAGGCAGUUUGACUGGGGCGGUCUCCUCCUAAAGGGUAACGGAGGAGUGCGAAGGUACGCUAGGUACGGUCGGAAAUCGUGCUGAUAGUGCAAUGGCAAAAGCGUGCUUGACUGCGAGACCUACAAGUCGAGCAGAUGCGAAAGCAGGUCAUAGUGAUCCGGUGGCUCUGUAUGGAAGGGCCAUCGCUCAACGGAUAAAAGGUACUCUGGGGAUAACAGGCUGAUACCGCCCAAGAGUUCAUAUCGACGGCGGUGUUUGGCACCUCGAUGUCGGCUCAUCUCAUCCUGGGGCUGUAGCCGGUCCCAAGGGUAUGGCUGUUCGCCAUUUAAAGAGGUACGUGAGCUGGGUUUAAAACGUCGUGAGACAGUUUGGUCCCUAUCUACCGCGGGCGCUGGAAGAUUGACAGGGGCUGCUCCUAGUACGAGAGGACCGGAGUGGACGCACCUCUGGUGUAUCGGUUGUGACGCCAGUCGCAUUGCCGAGUAGCUAUGUGCGGAAGAGAUAACCGCUGAAAGCAUCUAAGCGGGAAACUUGCCUGAAGAUUAGUCUUCCCGGAGGCUUGA